AAAUAAAAUAUUUCAUAAGCUGAUAAAUGAUUACGGCAACAUGAGCAAAGGUGAUUAUUUUUUAAUUUGAGUGUUAAAAUAUAUCAGUGAUGAAGUAGGCUGUACCAGAUCAAUGUCACGAAGCAAGAUCAAGUGAAUAUAUUCGUUUUUUUUUUACAUAUACCAAAAAAAAUUGUUCAUAUUAAAGAAAACAAUCAGUUGAAAUCGACGUAAAGUUGUAUAGAUGUUACAAACAAGAACCAUUUAGGAGGGUUUGACUAUCAUUUAAAUCAUCAAGAAAGUGUAGGCAAAAAAGUGAAAAUACACAUGUCUCACUGUUUUAUAGCCACAAAUCAUGCAUUUAGUUGUUUUAGAAUUCACUGUAAUUUUG
rnacentral:lncRNA from 1 species